GGGGAGCAGUGGGGAAUAUUGGACAAUGGGCGAAAGCCUGAUCCAGCCAUGCCGCGUGUGUGAAGAAGGCUUUCGGGUUGUAAAGCACUUUCAGUGGGGAAGAAAUCCUCAGGGCCAAUACCCCUGAGGGAGGACAUCACCCACAGAAGAAGCACCGGCUAACUCCGUGCCAGCAGCCGCGGUAAUACGGAGGGUGCGAGCGUUAAUCGGAAUUACUGGGCGUAAAGCGCGCGUAGGCGGCGUGAUCAGCCGGUUGUGAAAGCCCCGGGCUCAACCUGGGAACGGCAUCCGGAACUGUCACGCUAGAGUGCAGGAGAGGAAGGUAGAAUUCCCGGUGUAGCGGUGAAAUGCGUAGAGAUCGGGAGGAAUACCAGUGGCGAAGGCGGCCUUCUGGACUGACACUGACGCUGAGGUGCGAAAGCAUGGGUAGCAAACAGGAUUAGAUACCCUGGUAGUCCAUGCCGUAAACGAUGUCGACUAGCCGUUGGGGUCCUUGUGACCUUUGUGGCGCAGUUAACGCGAUAAGUCGACCGUCCGUUC
rnacentral:rRNA from 1 species